rnacentral:rRNA from 1 species
AUUGAACGCUGGCGGCAGGCCUAACACAUGCAAGUCGAGCGGAUGAAGGGAGCUUGCUCCUGGAUUCAGCGGCGGACGGGUGAGUAAUGCCUAGGAAUCUGCCUGGUAGUGGGGGAUAACGUCCGGAAACGGGCGCUAAUACCGCAUACGUCCUGAGGGAGAAAGUGGGGGAUCUUCGGACCUCACGCUAUCAGAUGAGCCUAGGUCGGAUUAGCUAGUUGGUGGGGUAAAGGCCUACCAAGGCGACGAUCCGUAACUGGUCUGAGAGGAUGAUCAGUCACACUGGAACUGAGACACGGUCCAGAUUCCUACGGGAGGCAGCAGUGGGGAAUAUUGGACAAUGGGCGAAAGCCUGAUCCAGCCAUGCCGCGUGUGUGAAGAAGGUCUUCGGAUUGUAAAGCACUUUAAGUUGGGAGGAAGGGCAGUAAGUUAAUACCUUGCUGUUUUGACGUUACCAACAGAAUAAGCACCGGCUAACUUCGUG